CAGAGACCUCAAGCGUUAUCCGGAAUCAUUGGGCGUAAAGCGUACCGAUAGGUGGCUUUGCAAGUCAGAAGUGAAAUCUUAAGGCUCAACCUUGAGACUGUCUUUUGAAACUGCAGAGCUAGAGGGGCAAAGAGGAAGCUGGAGCGAACGGUGUAGUAGUGAAAUGCGUUGAUAUCGUUCGGAACACCAAUAGCGUAGGCAGGCUUCUGGGUGCCACCUGACACUGCUAGGACGAAAGCGUGGGGAGCGAAUGGGAUUAGAUACCCCAGUAGUCCACGCUGUAAACGAUGUACAUUAGGUGCUAGGGAGUAUCGACCCUCUUUAGUACCAUAGCUAACGCGUUAAAUGUACCGCCUGGGGAGUACGGCCGCAAGGCUA
rnacentral:rRNA from 1 species